AUAAACAUAUGAAUGCUUAUUUAAAAAGUUAGAAGCUUUUUGAUUGAUAUUUCUUU
rnacentral:tRNA from 1 species